AGCCACAGCCAUAUCAACCUGCAGCUCAAGACCGGUUACUCACUGAAGCUAAGCAGGGCUGAGCCUGGUUAGUACCUGGAUAGGAGACCACAUGGGAAAACCAGGUUGCUGUUGAAU
ensembl:rRNA 5S_rRNA 5S ribosomal RNA